CCCCCCCCCCCCCCCCCCCCCCCCCCCCCCCCCCCCCCCCCCCCCCCCCCAAUUCACACAAAAUUAACCCAAAAUUAUCCAAAAAUAACCAAAAUUUUACCCCAAAUCAACCCAAAAUUAACCCAAAAUUAACCCAAAAUUAACCCUAAUUAAUCCCAAAUUCAACCCCGAAUUAACCCAAAAUUAAACCCCCAAAAUUAACCCAAAAUAACCCGAAUUUAACCCGAUUUCGACCCCAAUUUCCCCGCCCCUCCCCCACCUGCGCGAGGUCUGCUCAGGUGUGUCCCAGGUGGGGGCGGGGCCGCCCCGGGCCCGGGCCCGCCCCUGCUCCUGGGCCAGGUAAGCCCCGCGCACGAGCUUCACCCCGCAGCUGAGCCCGGCCCCGCCCACCUGCGCCAGGUGAGCGCCCAGGUGAGACUCGGCCUCCUGGAGGGGACAGGUGAGGGACAGGUGUGACAAAACUAUGAGACUCGGCCUCCUGGGGGGGACAGGUGAGGGACAGGUGUGACAAAACUACCCCAGGUGUGCCCAAAAUACCCCCAGGUGUGUCCAGGUGUGCCCCAAAAUGUGACUCAGGUGAGCUCAGGUGAAUCCAGGUGUGUCUAAAAUAACCCCAGGUGUGUCCCAGGUGAGCUCAGGUGUGCCCCAGGUAUCCCAAAAUGUGUCCCAGGUGUGUCCAGGUAUCCCAAAAUGUGGCUCAGGUGAGUCCAGGUGUGACCCAGGUGUCCUGACCCGUCCCAGGUGUGCCCCAGGUGUGACCUGGGAACCCCCGAAUGUGUCCCAGGUGCGCUCAGGUGUGUCUCUAAUGUCUCAGGUGUGUCCCAGGUGUCCUUAUCCCACUUUUCCCGCCAUUUCCAGCUGUGCCCAGGUGUCCCCAGCUGUGCCCAGGUGUAUCCAGGUGCCCCCAGGUGUGCCCAGGUGUAUCCCAGCUGUGCCCAGGUGUAUCCCAGGUGUGCCCAGGUGUGCCCAGGUGUGCCCAGGUGUCUCCAGUGUAUCUCAGGUGUCCCCAGGUGUAUCCCAGGUUAUCUCAGGUGUAUCUCAGGUGUGCCCAGGUGUAUCCCAGGUGUGCCCAGGUGUGCCCAAAAUACCCCCAGGUGUGUCCAGGUGUGCCCCAAAAUGUGACUCAGGUGAGCUCAGGUGAAUCCAGGUGUGUCUAAAAUAACCCCAGGUGUGUCCCAGGUGAGCUCAGGUGUGCCCCAGGUAUCCCAAAAUGUGUCCCAGGUGUG
rnacentral:lncRNA from 12 species